AGGAAUGACUUGGUUCCUCGUCUGCUUAAAUCAGCUGCUGAGUUCAUAGGUGGGAUAAACUCCCAGCCAACAUUGAUAUGUGGGCCCCAUAUGGGUUAUACCUGGGCAGCAUGGGUUCUAUGUGGGCAUGGGAUGAAGAUGGGCUAUUUAUGUGUAGGGAUUGGGCGUCGUGACGUCAUCACUUAGCAUGGCCACCAUGUUGAAGGCCCCCUACUGCUUCUGCGCAAUAAUGUGCUCGUGCUUAUGUCACACCCAGGGGCGGCUAUGCUUUGACUAAGCCACACCCCUUCUCAACUUCCACCUCGAGGAGGUCCCCAAAGCCAACCCAAUGGCCAAACAACACGAGAACAAAUGGGCUAUGGCCGGGAAGAGGUCAGGGAGCAAGGGGGCCACGGGGAUCCGGGGCGUGGGACUCGGGGCCCGGCCAGAGUCUUAGGUAUCCGUAGCGCCCUCCUUCUUCCUCCUCUUCGCUGAAUACAACUCAAGUAAGUACUGGUUCACACAGUUCGUUCCUUGGGUGCUCACUCGCUUUCUCUUUCUCCACAGGCAGCGGCGUAAGUACAGGUUUCCUCGGUCUCUCCUCGUGUUACCCACUCUCUCUCCUUUUCUCUCCACAGGUAUCAACUUGGGCACAAUAGCACAGUUAGUUUGCUUUGAAUGGCUCUCACCUCUGGGCUGGACACAGCGUACUGUAAGGACAGGUUUCGCUCUAUUUCUCCUCGCGUUAUCCACUCUCUCUCCUUUUCUCUCCACAGGUAUCAACUUGGGCACAAUAGCACAGUUAGUUUGCUUUGAAUGGCUCUCACCUCUGGGCUGGACACAGCGUACUGUAAGUACAGGUUUCGCUCUAUUUCUCCUCGCGUUAUCCACUCUCUCUCCUCCUCUCUACAGGUAUCAACUUGGACACAAAACACAGUUACUCUGCUUUGGAUGGCUUUCACCUCUGGGCUGGGCACAACGUACUGUAAGUACAGAGUUCGCUCUAUUCCUCCUCGUGUUAUUCACUCUCUCUCCUUUUCUCUCCACAGGUAUCAGAUUGGACACAAAGCACAGUUAGUUUGCUUUGAAUAGCUCCCACCUCUGGGCUGAACACAGCGUACCGUGCUAUCUCCGGAGAUCUGAAGCACGCCCACAACAUAUACUGUACUGAACUAGGCUAGAACCAGCAGUCUCCUUGUCCUCCCGCAACGAAGUGCGUGAAGGCGGGGGUUUAUCUGACAGGACACACGGCAAUACACAGCAACCCACAGCAAUAUACAGCACCACGUCAAAAUUAUAGGUUUUCACAGCACGAAGACUCACCCACCACACUCAGUGUACGAAAAAGGACACCCGUCUUCCUUCACUUCGCUUGGUUCGGAUCUGGCGAUGGAAUAUGCGGCCUAGCUAGUGAUGUCGUCGUUGUGACUACUUCAAUAAGUAUUCCUUCGGCUCUCCCACCACGCUAUAUUAGGGGUUGGGCCGCCCUCCUCCUCCUGGGGAGAUCUACACAACGCCAGGUCAAUAUACAGGGCACUUUCGGCUUGCUCUUAGUACUCACAUCAAUGCCGCUUCCAAUCCCCUUUUUCACGUCGUCUCAAUUCGCCGUAUAAUCCGUUCACUUCUCAACCUUUAAGGUUUGCGAUGUCUUCACAAUCAUACAAUUCCAGCCUGAGGGAGAGAGAGAGUUAGACAGCCACCAGCAGCGCACCAAGACGGGCACGACACAGUGCUUCACACACACCAGAAAGAGCUCCCAGACUGUGACAUAACUUGGCCUUAAGUACUGCCUUGUCCAGUGUAUCCUCCAAUCACCAACCGCUGUCCCUAACUAGGCACAGGUGCAUCGAAUUCCCUGAUUUUCCCUCUUACGGCGCUACCGGAAGUUCCGGUGUUCCGGGCGGAAACACUUCCGGGCGGAACCAAACUUCCCGAAUUUUGGUUCCGCCCCUAAAGAUCGUCACCUUGUGACACUUAUGAUGGGUUGUGGGCCGUUGAGCAUAC
ensembl:lncRNA